UCAUCUCUCAUGUGCACAAAACUAUGACUCACACUGAAGAGUGAAGAGUCCAGCUUGGACAGGUGAAAAAGAGCUAAGAACCACAUCACAGUUAAGAUCAGGCCUGUCUGGUCACGUCUGUGUUUGAAGUACAGCGGGGUAAAUAAUUAUUUGAUCCCCUGCUGAUUUUGUAAGUUUGCCUGCUUACAAAGAAAUGAAGGGUCUGUCAUUUUUAUGGUAGGUUUAUUUUAACAGAUAUACACUGAAUACCAACCAAAAAUCCAGUAAAAAAAACAUUAUAUAAAGGUUAGCGAUUGAUUUGCAUUGCAUUGCUCUGAGUGUGUGAGGGUGUAACGGCGUGUUACCACACAUCAUUCACGCUCUUUAAAAGAAAUCCCUGGCAACCAGAAGGUCACCAAGACCUCGGUCAAGAAGACUAGAGAUUAAUACACUGACACAGACACUUCGGACAAAAAGAAGAAAACCCCCUCUCUCUUUCAUCUCUUGUCUUGCGAGUUGACUCCCUUUUAUCCAUAAAGGAAGUAUGUGACAGCCGGAUGGCAUUUCCUUCAUCCUUCUGCUGUGAGAUCUGUCUCUCUCUUCUUUCAUUUAGGUCUGCCGUGUGCAAUGUGUUGCUGUUUGGGAGUGAACGAGAGUUCGCUGCAUUAGCAGGAGGACUCUAACACUUCCAAAGUCAAACACCGAGCUGACCCCUGCCAGUUUGUUAAGAUACUCCCCUGAGAGCAAAGUUCAGAGGUCAACAUGUGUUGAAAAUAUCAGUGUCAGCCUUAAACUUCAUUCAUUAACGUGACAUGAAUCAGCAGGGGAGGUGGCCAAAACGAUGGGUGAAGAAAACACCUGCUCCUCUCCUCCCUCUCUCUCUUUCACUUUGUUCUCUGGAGCGCUGCCAUUUAAUUAAACCUCAGGUUCUGCAGACGGGGAAAUGAAAGCCUGAGGUGUGGAGGAAUGUGAGCGAGCUCUGGUGGGAAAUCUCACUGUUGGACGAUGUAUACUGCAUGCUCUGAUGGGUCUCUGCUCGCCAUUUACAAAUGUUACUUGUCUGCUGUGACAACAUUUGAUUUAUACCGCACUGAUUGGAGACUUUUAACCUUUGCAGCUCUUAAAAAGAAUAGCAUGUAUUUAUGUGCAGAGGCUCUGAGAGCUUUUUUUUAAGUACAGAAAAUAAGAUAAAGCCAAACA